UACGGAGGAUCCAAGCGUUAUCCGGAUUUAUUGGGUUUAAAGGGUGCGUAGGCGGCCUAUUAAGUCAGAGGUGAAAGACGGUAGCUCAACUAUCGCAGUGCCUUUGAUACUGAUGGGCUUGAAUGAACUAGAGGUAGGCGGAAUGAGACAAGUAGCGGUGAAAUGCAUAGAUAUGUCUCAGAACACCGAUUGCGAAGGCAGCUUACUAUGGUCUUAUUGACGCUGAGGCACGAAAGCGUGGGGAUCAAACAGG
rnacentral:rRNA from 1 species